UCCUACGGGGUGCUGCAGUGGGGAAUGCCAAGGGCSAAGCCUGGAAUGCAGCGACGCCGGCGUUGAGGGAUGACGGCCUUCGGGUUGUAAACCUCUUUCAGCAGGGCAAGAAGCGAAAGUGACGGUACCUGCAGAAGAAGCGCCGGCUAACUACGUGCCAGCAGCCGCGUGUAAUACGUAGGGCGCAAGCGUUGUCCGGAAUUAUUGGGCGUAAAGAGCUCGUASGCGGCUUGUCACGUCGAUUGUGAAAGCCCGAGGCUUAACCUCGGGUCUGCAGUCGAUACGGGCUAGCUAGAGUGUGGUAGGGGAGAUCGGAAUUCCUGGUGUAGCGGUGAAAUGCGCAGAUAUCAGGAGGAACACCGGCGAAGGCGGAUCUCUGGGCCCAUUACUGACGCUGAGGAGCGAAAGCGUGGGGAACAGGAUUAGAUACCCCUGGUAGUCAAAA
rnacentral:rRNA from 1 species